rnacentral:rRNA from 1 species
UGAAACUAGAUACAAGCGAGCGGCGGACGGGUGAGUAACACGUGGGUAACCUGCCCAAGAGACUGGGAUAACACCUGGAAACAGAUGCUAAUACCGGAUAACAACACUAGACGCAUGUCUAGAGUUUGAAAGAUGGUUCUGCUAUCACUCUUGGAUGGACCUGCGGUGCAUUAGCUAGUUGGUAAGGUAACGGCUUACCAAGGCAAUGAUGCAUAGCCGAGUUGAGAGACUGAUCGGCCACAUUGGGACUGAGACACGGCCCAAACUCCUACGGGAGGCAGCAGUAGGGAAUCUUCCACAAUGGACGAAAGUCUGAUGGAGCAACGCCGCGUGAGUGAAGAAGGGUUUCGGCUCGUAAAGCUCUGUUGGUAGUGAAGAAAGAUAGAGGUAGUAACUGGCCUUUAUUUGACGGUAAUUACUUAGAAAGUCACGGCUAACUACGUGCCAGCAGCCGCGGUAAUACGUAGGUGGCAAGCGUUGUCCGGAUUUAUUGGGCGUAAAGCGAGUGCAGGCGGUUCAAUAAGUCUGAUGUGAAAGCCUUCGGCUCAACCGGAGAAUUGCAUCAGAAACUGUUGAACUUGAGUGCAGAAGAGGAGAGUGGAACUCCAUGUGUAGCGGUGGAAUGCGUAGAUAUAUGGAAGAACACCAGUGGCGAAGGCGGCUCUCUGGUCUGCAACUGACGCUGAGGCUCGAAAGCAUGGGUAGCGAACAGGAUUAGAUACCCUGGUAGUCCAUGCCGUAAACGAUGAGUGCUAAGUGUUGGGAGGUUUCCGCCUCUCAGUGCUGCAGCUAACGCAUUAAGCACUCCGCCUGGGGAGUACGACCGCAAGG